AGUAAUGCAUAGGAAACUGCCCAGUAGUGGGGGAUAGCCCGGGGAAACCCGGAUUAAUACCGCGUACGCCCUUCGGGGGAAAGCAGGGGAUCUUCGGACCUUGCGCUAUUGGAUGUGCCUAUGUCGGAUUAGCUAGUUGGUGGGGUAAAGGCCUACCAAGGCGACGAUCCGUAGCUGGUCUGAGAGGAUGAUCAGCCACAUCGGGACUGAGACACGGCCCGAACUCCUACGGGAGGCAGCAGUGGGGAAUAUUGGACAAUGGGGGCAACCCUGAUCCAGCCAUGCCGCGUGUGUGAAGAAGGCUUUCGGGUUGUAAAGCACUUUCAGUGAGGAGGAAAACUCUGCGACUAAUACUCGUAGGGCUUGACGUUACUCACAGAAGAAGCACCGGCUAACUCCGUGCCAGCAGCCGCGGUAAUACGGAGGGUGCAAGCGUUAAUCGGAAUUACUGGGCGUAAAGCGCGCGUAGGUGGUUUGAUAAGCGAGAUGUGAAAGCCCCGGGCUUAACCUGGGAACGGCAUUUCGAACUGUCAGGCUAGAGUAUGGUAGAGGGUAGUGGAAUUUCCUGUGUAGCGGUGAAAUGCGUAGAUAUAGGAAGGAACGCCAGUGGCGAAGGCGGCUACCUGGACCAAUACUGACACUGAGGUGCGAAAGCGUGGGGAGC
rnacentral:rRNA from 1 species